GCCGACGUAGCUCAACGGCAGAGCACCUGUUUUGUAAACAGGCGGUUACCGGUUCAAAUCCGGUCGUCGGCUCCA
rnacentral:tRNA from 1 species